ACGCCCACACGACUGAGCCCGUCAAAACUCAGUUUUCUAUAUCUUUUUCCGGCAGAGCAUUGCACUAAGGUUAGUGUUUCAUAUCCCAUUUCUGAAUUCGUCUUAGUUUGGUAUCUUAGAAAUCAAUUUUUGCAUAUUUUCCUUUUUUAUGAAGCUCGAAAAAUGGUUUCCCUAAAAUGUUUGGUUUCUUGAAUUUAUACUACACUAAUUGUUUGGUUUCCUUUUUCAUACUAUAUUGAUUUAUAUUACACUGAUUUAUACUAUAACAUCAUGCAAAUUUAGUGGGUAACAUCCUGAAAAUUUGGCGUUGUAUAACAAACGAAGGUGGUGUUUUCUUUCUCUGUUGUCCGUACUUAUCUUUUAUUUUACCCUGCUUGAUAGUUGCUUCUUAGAGCCUUAGACUGAGUUGUUUCCCAUCCUCACUUGUUUACUGUCUAUGUUGUGGCAGGAAGUAUUGAGCAUUUAUUCAAAAAAUAUGUGUUUCAUUUUAAGAUUUUAAGCUAAAUAUGUAGUUAUAUGUGUUUCAUUUUAAGAUUUUGUUGUCUCGCUUCUUGAUUUCUUUUAAAUCAAAUUCACAGUGACACAAAAACAUGGCUGAAAAUAUCAUGAUUGAUAAGGUGAUUGGUGAAAGUGGAGCUUCUAAUUCAAAUGCCACAUCACAAUCUCAAUCAGUUCAAUCGAAAGCAAAAAAAACAAAGAAAAAAGAGGUCUGUUGC
rnacentral:lncRNA from 1 species